GCUUUACUGUAUCUUGRAAUUGAAUUUGAGCUUUAUCUGCGCAGCAUARGUGGGAGGCUACGAUGAUUAACUUGCGGGUUUUUCUGAGCCAAUAGUGAGAUACCACUCUGUUAAAGCUAGAAUUCUAACCUUGUAAGCCGUYAUCCGGCCAAGGAACAGUUCCARGUGGGCAGUUUGACUGGGGCGGUCGCCUCCUAAAAAGUAACGGAGGCGCGCAAAGGUUCCCUCAGACUGGUCGGAAAUCAGUCGUAGAGUGUAAAGGCAUAAGGGAGCUUGACUGCAAGACCUACAAGUCGAGCAGAGACGAAAGUCGGCCUUAGUGAUCCGACAGUUCCGAGUGGAAGGGCUGUCGCUCAACGGAUAAAAGUUA
rnacentral:rRNA from 1 species